ACCAAUUCCGGACACAAUCUCAGCACUGUGGGAGACUGAGGCACCUGCCAAACCUGCACAGAUUCCUACAGCAGCCAGUUCGCUCUGUCUCGAGGCUUCAGAGGAACACGAACUUCUCUGAUGGAAGAGCCUUGUUCUAGAAGGGAGUGAAGCCUAGGUCUUUCCUGAGCACACAGAAGAUCAAGACCACACUCACUGACUUCUCAUAGUCAAGCAAUUUUGGCCAAUUAAAUGUCAGUUGGAAACUCCUGUGUCAGCUUCUCUGUGGCGGUGAGAAGUCCCUGUGUGACAUCCCAACUCUCCCCUCACCUGCGUUGGCAACCAAGAAAGCCUUGUGUUGGAGGUGGGGCCACAAGUUUAAAGCUAAGUUACCACCUCGAGGGCACAUUCCUGGAGAGCUUCCCAGGCCCACAGUGGCACGUGUAUGAGUGACAGAUCCACUUCUUUAUUACCUUUUUGAAGAACAGGAACCUUUGUCUGGAAAUUCCACAAGUAUGCCUUUUGCAAGAUUAAAAGUGCCACAAAGAACAAAAAUGAGCCCAGGACCAGAUGCAUGUUAAAAGCCAUCAGACACGUUAAGUUUCAUCUCCAUUGACCUGAGCCAGUUGGAGUGUGAGGCUUCAGAAUCGCCUUCCAACUCUCUGUGCACUGCACCAGCUGCUUCCCAUAGACUCCUGGUAAAAUAUAGAGCGGAAGGAAGAAGAGCCACUACCCAUAACAUCAGUGGCUGCUAACUAAGGAGUGUUUUGACAUGCUGGUACAGCCUAUCCUCAGCUUUCCAGAAGGUGGAAUCUUGUGAUAGUGGAAAGAAGUAGAAGAGAUGAAGUACCUAUGACUCCAGGAUUUGCCAGUGAAAGAAGUCAACAAUAUUUUAACUUUGAUCUUAACCAAAAGGCCAAGAAGUGAUGCUAAUAUUUUCAUAUACUACGACAGUUGCAGACACACGUCUAUCAUAGCUGGGUAGUAAUCCAGGCAACUCUGCCACAAGUCAUGGGCUCAGCCACCAGUCCACGAAGUCUCCAGUCACACAUAUUGCUUCGGACUAUUCUCUAUCCCCAGUUGUCAAUUAACUAAAAUAUUAAAUGAGGAUGCCAUGGAGUCCCCCAACUGAUUUCAUAAAUUUGGUGUCACAUUGUAAAUCAAGCAGCUGCAGAGUGGCUGGGACAUCUGUUUGGUUCUGUUAUUCUCUUUACUCCAAAAGGAAACUAACUCCAAAAGAAGAAAACCUGAUGUCUGAGCUGAAUCCUAAUCAUGAAGAUGUUUUUCCACCAUUCCUGUCUGUGUUUUUCUACCAUUCCUGUCUGUGUUUUUCUACCAAAGUGUGCUCUUGAAGUUCUGCAUUUCCCAGGGUGUGGUGAAAGAAGAGAAAAAAAUGUCCAAGAUGACUUCAACGUUCUGACCUUGAGUGGCUUGAGUGAAUGGAGUUACAACUGUGCAGAAAGAUUCAGUAGAGAGUUUUGGAUUUAUGCACCAGUAAGGGGAAAACUGAACAGCUGCAGAGAGCUGUAACUUUUAUAGGAGAUUAAUCUAUAAGAGAAGACAGCAAACUACAGCCUGUGUGUCAAAUCCUACUUGCCACGUCCACUGAAAGCUAACUACACUGGAACACUCUCAUUUCUGCAAAGAAAAAUAUCAUAUCCCAGGAUGAAAAGGAGGAGGAAGAGGAAAGGCUAACUUAACAAGAAGCUCUUUGACAUUCUUGAAUUAGACACCCAACGUAGUCCACGCAGUACGGAGGAUGACUUCAGAAGUGCAAUUCUGAUAUGGACUUUGUCUCCCUAAGGCUUUCAGUUCCUCAUAUUUAGGAUAAAACAGAAGUUUAUGUAAAGCCAAGGGAGAGGGUCACCGGGAGAGGGAAGGAGGAACAGCAGAAGGAGAGGUCCACACAUGAAAAUACUUGGAAGCGCCCCAGGGCCUAUCAGAUGCAGGUCUUGGCGGAAAUUACCAAACAUACUUUAGACAGGCUGCUGUGUUGCUGAGUGUGGACUGGCCUCAGGGCCUGCUGAUCAAAGCAAAAGGAAGCAGUGAAAAAAACAUCACCAUGUCUUCUUAGAGUCUAAUCUGGGGGCAAGAGGCCAGCAUGCACAGUUGGUGCUGAUUUUCUUGGGCGGAUAGAGGAAAGGUGUAGGCGUGGCCAACAUUUGAGCAGCAUGUGGUUCCUCUCACACGCCAUGCUGUUUCCGGCCUCCUUGCAUUUUACUCAUGCCAUCCUCCUGGUCACUUCUUUGAGAUAUUAAGUGCAUUCUUUAGGACUCAGACUCAGCUCAAGGGUCAGUGCAUCCAUGAAGCCUUACCUGGAUCCCAGAGGGAGCUCUGUGCUCCUCCUUUGUCUCCUAUAGGACCCAGUACAUGCGUCCAGUAUUAUCCAUACACACUGAAAUGAUCUAGCAUGUGUCUUCCCAUAGGAUUUCAAAUUCUUAGAAUAUAGGAGUGAUGCCUUCUUCCUACUUAUAUUUCCAGUGUUAACAGUGCCUGUCAAUUGACUUGAAGAUAACUAAAAGUCUGGUUGUUAAGGGCUGCUUCCCACCUCCAAAUACUUCCCUGGAAGUCAUUGUAUGGGCACUGACAUUGGUAGGUCUCCACUGGCUUGUAGAUGCUUCUGAUUAUAAGGUAGUCUCAGAUGCCUUCAGAAAGUUCUAAGACUGUAUAAAACAUUUCCUUCACAACCAAUAACUGUGUAUUAUUGUUCGUGUAAUUCCAGAAGUUAUCCUUUUGAUAGAGAGCAAUUACUUUAUUGAUUGAGAGUUAGCUAAUUAUGUAAUAAAGGUAAAGAUUUGCAUAGAGAAGUGUAAGAGACAUGGAGAAGAUUCUUGGUGGGUGGUGAGGGCGGGUACAUUUACACCAGACCAAGACUGAUCUGGCUGUGGCGCUGGAGAUUAAACUGUUUAAAUAUGGGAUCCUAAGAAGACUUCUGUGCAUUCUAGACUUCAAGAGACAGAUUGCAUUUUUUUUUAGGAAAUGUAGAUAAAACCCUUUGACUGAAUGACUCUAGAAAAUAAUACUGAUUUGAGAGAGAAAGGAAAUUCUAAAACAAAAUCCUGACAGCAGAGGCAUGAAUGAUCCUCAUGAGGAAGAAAUGAGACUCUGCUUAACUACACUGUAGAUUUUGGUGUGGAAGAAGAUGGAAGGUGGGUAUAUAGCCAAAUUUUGAAUACAAUAGGGCAGCACAAAACUGUGACAACAGUGGCAGAAGGACUGAAGUACAGAAUGUGUGAAAGUUGUUGUGAAAUAAAUAGAGAGCAACAGAAAAGGACUAUUUGGGCUGGGCAAUGGUAAUCCCAGAACUUUGGGAGGCUGAGUCAGGUGGAUCACCUGAGGUCAGGAGCUCAAGA
rnacentral:lncRNA from 1 species